GGGAUAACUCCGGGAAACCGGAGCUAAUACCGGAUAACAUUUUCUCUUGCAUAAGAGAAAAUUGAAAGAUGGUUUCGGCUAUCACUUACAGAUGGGCCCGCGGUGCAUUAGCUAGUUGGUGAGGUAACGGCUCACCAAGGCAACGAUGCAUAGCCGACCUGAGAGGGUGAUCGGCCACACUGGGACUGAGACACGGCCCAGACUCCUACGGGAGGCAGCAGUAGGGAAUCUUCCGCAAUGGACGAAAGUCUGACGGAGCAACGCCGCGUGAGUGAUGAAGGCUUUCGGGUCGUAAAACUCUGUUGUUAGGGAAGAACAAGUACAAGAGUAACUGCUUGUACCUUGACGGUACCUAACCAGAAAGCCACGGCUAACUACGUGCCAGCAGCCGCGGUAAUACGUAGGUGGCAAGCGUUAUCCGGAAUUAUUGGGCGUAAAGCGCGCGCAGGCGGUUUCUUAAG
rnacentral:rRNA from 1 species